UACGGAAGGUGCAAGCGUUGCUCGGAAUCACUGGGCGUAAAGGGUGCGUAGACGGCCGUGCAAGUCUGGCGUGAAAGCCCCGGGCUCAGCCCGGGAAGUGCGCUCGAAACUGCGCGGCUCGAGUGCCGGAGGGGAGAGUGGAAUUCCUGGUGUAGCGGUGAAAUGCGUAGAUAUCAGGAGGAAUACCGGUGGCGAAAGCGACUCUCUGGACGGCAACUGACGCUGAGGCACGAAAGCGUGGGGAGCAAACAGG
rnacentral:rRNA from 1 species